UCCUAGGUUUCUCAGUGGGUAGGAACCUGCCUGCAAUGCAGGAGACCCAGGUUCGAUCCCUGGUUUUUGGA
rnacentral:tRNA from 1 species